rnacentral:rRNA from 1 species
AGGGAAUCUUCGGCAAUGGGGGCAACCCUGACCGAGCAACGCCGCGUGAGUGAAGAAGGUUUUCGGAUCGUAAAGCUCUGUUGUAAGUCAAGAACGGGUGUGAGAGUGGAAAGUUCACACUGUGACGGUAGCUUACCAGAAAGGGACGGCUAACUACGUGCCAGCAGCCGCGGUAAUACGUAGGUCCCGAGCGUUGUCCGGAUUUAUUGGGCGUAAAGCGAGCGCAGGCGGUUUGAUAAGUCUGAAGUUAAAGGCUGUGGCUCAACCAUAGUUCGCUUUGGAAACUGUCAAACUUGAGUGCAGAAGGGGAGAGU